rnacentral:rRNA from 1 species
UACAGAGGGGGCAAGCGUUAUCGGAAUUAUUGGGCGUAAAGGGCGCGUAGGCGGCUUUGCAAGUGACGGGUGAAAUCCCACGGCUUAACCGUGGAACUGCCUGUCAGACUGCAUGGCUUGAGACCAGGAGAGGUGAGUGGAAUUCCCAGUGUAGCGGUGAAAUGCGUAGAUAUCGAGAGGAACACCUGCGGCGAAAGCGGCGCACUGGACCACAACUGACGCUGAGGCGCGAAAGCUAGGGGAGCAAACAGG